UUGGGAUUAACAACCCCAACAACGCUACAAAUUUAGCAGUUUAAAAAUAAACGGAUAUUUUCGAUAAUAUUGCCGAUUUUUCACUAAUACAAUACACAGAUUCGAAGUUAGAUGACAAUUGCGAUCAUUUAGAAGACAGUUCGGAACACUGUGAAAGGAUGAAGUUAGUAAGUUUGGCUUCAGAGAAAGAUAUACAAUAAAUAGUCUGAUUGACUGCUGGCUGGCCUAUAAAGUAUUUGAAAUUAAGUCAAAGAAGUGGUACAAGAAAGAGGAGAAAGCGGAUCGAAUCAUUUUAGAGAUGUAUCGCCUGGGAAGUCAUUUGCAGAUUUGUGGAAUUGAGUUUGAAUCGACUGUUAGCGUUGGUAAUAACAAUACACAUAACGAAUCAUGCAAACUUCGAAAGCCACUUCAAGCGUAUGUGACAAACCGAGAGAUGGAAUAAAAGUGUAAGAGAUCGUGGCAGUUCAGUUACUCGUUCCUGGUAGCCCUUUGAGAAGGUGGUGGUGAGCUGCCUUCUUGAGCUGCUGCUGACCCUGAGGUGUGGGCAUGUUGUUCGGGAGAUAUCGUACAUGUGACCAGAGAUGUCCUGUCACAAAGUACAAGGGGAAUGUGACAGCCGUUCUCUUGUACCCUGAGCAAAGGACCUGAUGUGCUGGAGGAAUGAAUCAAGAGGCAAGUAACCACAUGUUUCUCCUGAUCUCCCAACAUCGAGCUCAUCCAUCACCACCCUGUAGGACUAGUAAGUACGGCACAGAUAUCCGUAGGACCUUCCGCACAAUUUGUUUGUGCUGAUCAAGACCAUAAGCUACAGGAGCAGAGUUAGGCCAUUUGGCCCAUCAAGUCUACUCUGCCAGUUCAUCAUGGCUGAUCCAUUUCCCUCUCAGCCCCAAUCUCCUGCCUUCUCCCCGUAUCCCUUCAUGCCCUGACUAUCAACCUCUGCCUUAUUUGUACCCAAUGUCUUGGCCUCCACAUCCACCUGCGGCAAUGAAUUCCACAGAUACAUCACUCUCUGGCUAAAGAAAUUCCUUCUCAACUCUGUUCUAAAAGGACAUCCCUCUAUUUUGAGGCUGUGUCCUCUGGUCUUAGACACCCCCACCAUAGGAAGCAUCUUCUCCACAUUGCACAAGAUGCCCUCUUAAGC